CGAAGGGUCCAAGCGUUAUCCGGAUUUAUUGGGUUUAAAGGGUGCGUAGGCGGUUUAUUAAGUCAGUGGUGAAAGCUCCAUGCUUAACAUGGAAAUUGCCAUUGAUACUGAUGAACUUGAGUACACUUGAAGUGGGCGGAAUAUGUCAUGUAGAGGUGAAAUUCUUAGAGAUGACAUAGAACACCGAUUGCGAAGGCAGCUCACUAAAUUGUAACUGACGCUGAGGCACGAAAGCGUGGGGAUCAAACAGGAUUAGAUACUCUGGUAGUCCACGCCCUAAACGAUGAUUACUAGAUGUGUGCAAUAUACCGUACGCGUCACAGCUAAAGCGUUAAAGUAAUCCACCUGGGGAGUACGGCCGCAAAGGCUG
rnacentral:rRNA from 1 species